GAUGAACGCUGGCGGCGUGCCUAAUACAUGCAAGUCGAGCGAACAGACGAGGAGCUUGCUCCUCUGACGUUAGCGGCGGACGGGUGAGUAACACGUGGAUAACCUACCUAUAAGACUGGGAUAACUUCGGGAAACCGGAGCUAAUACCGGAUAAUAUAUUGAACCGCAUGGUUCAAUAGUGAAAGACGGUUUUGCUGUCCCUUAUAGAUGAUGCCGCGCCGCAUUAGCUAGUUGGUAAGGUAACGGCUUACCAAGGCAACGAUGCGUAGCCGACCUGAGAGGGUGAUCGGCCACACUGGAACUGAGACACGGUCCAGACUCCUACGGGAGGCAGCAGUAGGGAAUCUUCCGCAAUGGGCGAAAGCCUGACGGAGCAACGCCGCGUGAGUGAUGAAGGUCUUCGGAUCGUAAAACUCUGUUAUUAGGGAAGAACAAAUGUGUAAGUAACUAUGCACGUCUUGACGGUACCUAAUCAGAAAGCCACGGCUAACUACGUG
rnacentral:rRNA from 1 species